rnacentral:misc_RNA from 1 species
AUCACUCUUCUCUGUUAACUCACCUAAUGCAGUUGAAAAAAGAAAUCAUUUUUCUUUUACCCUUAAGAAAGAGCAUUAUUGAAUUUUACAUCUGGUUUUUGGGCAUAUAAGGUUGUUAGGAUUAAGACAAUUAUUGCAGAUGCUAUCAGUGCAGUACAUGUGGAUUGAAGACAGCUUUGUCUGGGAGAAUACUAAUUAUAUAGUUAUCAAUAUCAUCACAUCACAUAAAAUAUUGCAAGUCAUUAAAUUAUGUUACAUCCACUUCAGCAAGGGAAAUAUUUUCUCUCUGAUACUUAAGUAACCAUAUAAAUUAUAAAUACCACUGUCUAACAAAAUGAAAA